rnacentral:rRNA from 1 species
GCUUGUCUCAAAGAUUAAGCCAUGCAUGUCUUAGUGUAAAUAACUCUUAUGAAACUGCGAAUGGCUCAUUAAAUCAGUUAUCAAAUACGUGAUGGUCGCCUACUACAUGGAUAACCGUAGUAAUUCUAGAGCUAAUACAUGCGUCAAAUCCCCGACUUCUCGGAAGGGGUGCAUUUAUUAGAUACCAAAUCAACCCUGCUUCUGGGUCGGUUCACCCGUCCCAGACAGGAGUGUUGAUGAUUCAUAAUAAAUGGAGCGUAUCGGAUCUCGUGAUCCGAUGGUCCUUUCAUGCGUCUGACCUAUCAGCUCUGGAUGGUAGGGUAAAGGCCUACCAUGGCUAUGACGGGUAACGGAAUAUCAGGGUAUGGUUCCGGAGAGGGAGCCUGAGAAACGGCUACCACAUCUAAGGAAGGCAGCAGG